AUGCACGCUGGCGGCGUGCCUCAUACAUGCCAGUCGAGCGAACGGACGAGAAGCUUGCUUCUCUGAUGUUAGCGGCGGACGGGUGAGUAACACGUGGAUAACCUACCUAUAAGACUGGGAUAACUUCGGGAAACCGGAGCUAAUACCGGAUGAUAUUUUGAACCGCAUGGUUCAAAAGUGAAAGACGGUCUUGCUGUCACUUAUAGAUGGAUCCGCGCUGCAUUAGCUAGUUGGUAAGGUAACGGCUUACCAAGGCAACGAUGCAUAGCCGACCUGAGAGGGUGAUCGGCCACACUGGAACUGAGACACGGUCCAGACUCCUACGGGAGGCAGCAGUAGGGAAUCUUCCGCAAUGGGCGAAAGCCUGACGGAGCAACGCCGCGUGAGUGAUGAAGGUCUUCGGAUCGUAAAACUCUGUUAUUAGGGAAGAACAUAUGUGUAAGUAACUGUGCACAUCUUGACGGUACCUAAUCAGAAAGCCACGGCUAACUACGUG
rnacentral:rRNA from 1 species